rnacentral:rRNA from 1 species
AGGGUUCGAUUCUGGCUCAGGAUGAACGCUGGCGGCGUGCUUAACACAUGCAAGUCGAACGGGAUCCAUCAGGCUUUGCUUGGUGGUGAGAGUGGCGAACGGGUGAGUAAUGCGUGACCGACCUGCCCCAUACACCGGAAUAGCUCCUGGAAACGGGUGGUAAUGCCGGAUGCUCCAGUUGACCGCAUGGUCCUCUGGGAAAGCUUUUGCGGUAUGGGAUGGGGUCGCGUCCUAUCAGCUUGAUGGCGGGGUAACGGCCCACCAUGGCUUCGACGGGUAGCCGGCCUGAGAGGGCGACCGGCCACAUUGGGACUGAGAUACGGCCCAGACUCCUACGGGAGGCAGCAGUGGGGAAUAUUGCACAAUGGGCGCAAGCCUGAUGCAGCGACGCCGCGUGAGGGAUGGAGGCCUUCGGGUUGUAAACCUCUUUUAUCGGGGAGCAAGCGAGAGUGAGUUUACCCGUUGAAUAAGCACCGGCUAACUACGUGCCAGCAGCCGCGGUAAUACGUAGGGUGCAAGCGUUAUCCGGAAUUAUUGGGCGUAAAGGGCUCGUAGGCGGUUCGUCGCGUCCGGUGUGAAAGUCCAUCGCUUAACGGUGGAUCCGCGCCGGGUACGGGCGGGCUUGAGUGCGGUAGGGGAGACUGGAAUUCCCGGUGUAACGGUGGAAUGUGUAGAUAUCGGGAAGAACACCAAUGGCGAAGGCAGGUCUCUGGGCCGUCACUGACGCUGAGGAGCGAAAGCGUGGGGAGCGAACAGGAUUAGAUACCCUGGUAGUCCACGCCGUAAACGGUGGGCGCUAGGUGUGGGGAUUGUUUCCACGAUCUCCGUGCCGUAGCUAACGCAUUAAGCGCCCCGCCUGGGGAGUACGGCCGCAAGGCUAAAACUCAAAGGAAUUGACGGGGGCCCGCACAAGCGGCGGAGCAUGCGGAUUAAUUCGAUGCAACGCGAAGAACCUUACCUGGG